GCUUAACACAUGCAAGUCGAGGGGCAGCGCAGUGUAGCAAUACAUGGGCGGCGACCGGCGCACGGGUGCGUAACGCGUAUCCAACCUUCCCGUUACUCAGGGAUAGCCUUCCGAAAGGGAGAUUAAUACCUGAUGGUGUUGAAAUUCCGCAUGUUAUUUCAACUAAAGAUUUAUCGGUAACGGAUGGGGAUGCGUGACAUUAGGUAGAUGGCGGGGUAACGGCCCACCAUGCCUACGAUGUCUAGGGGUUCUGAGAGGAAGGUCCCCCACACUGGAACUGAGACACGGUCCAGACUCCUACGGGAGGCAGCAGUGAGGAAUAUUGGUCAAUGGCCGGAAGGCUGAACCAGCCAAGUAGCGUGAAGGAUGAAGGUUCUAUGGAUUGUAAACUUCUUUUAUACGGGAAUAAAACCUCCCACGUGUGGGAGCUUGUAUGUACCGUAUGAAUAAGCAUCGGCUAACUCCGUGCCAGCAGCCGCGGUAAUACGGAGGAUGCGAGCGUUAUCCGGAUUUAUUGGGUUUAAAGGGAGCGUAGGUGGAUUGUUAAGUCAGUUGUGAAAGUUUGCGGCUCAACCGUAAAAUUGCAGUUGAAACUGGCAGUCUUGAGUACAGUAGAGGUGGGCGGAAUUCGUGGUGUAGCGGUGAAAUGCUUAGAUAUCACGAA
rnacentral:rRNA from 1 species